rnacentral:rRNA from 1 species
UACGUAGGGUGCAAGCGUUAAUCGGAAUUACUGGGCGUAAAGCGUGCGCAGGCGGUUAUGUAAGACAGAUGUGAAAUCCCCGGGCUCAACCUGGGAACUGCAUUUGUGACUGCAUAGCUAGAGUACGGUAGAGGGGGAUGGAAUUCCGCGUGUAGCAGUGAAAUGCGUAGAUAUGCGGAGGAACACCGAUGGCGAAGGCAAUCCCCCUGGACCUGUACUGACGCUCAUGCACGAAAAGCGUGGGGGAGCAAACAGGG